rnacentral:rRNA from 1 species
CAAUAGCGUAUAUUAAAGUUGUUGCAGUUAAAAAGCUCGUAGUUGGAUUUCUGGUGGGAGCGAUCGGUCUGGCGCUUAGCGCGAGUACUUGCAUCGUCUCCGGCCACCCUUGGGGAGAGUCUGUCUGGCAUUAGGUUGUCGGGCAGAGGAUCCUCAUCGUUUACUGUGAAAAAAUUAGAGUGUUCAAAGCAGGCUUAUGCCGUUGAAUAUAUUAGCAUGGAAUAAUAAGAUAGGACUUUGGUACUAUUUUGUUGGUUUGCGCACCAAAGUAAUGAUUAAUAGGGACAGUUGGGGGUAUUCGUAUUCCGUUGUCAGAGGUGAAAUUCUUGGAUUUACGGAAGACGAACUACUGCGAAAGCAUUACCAAGGAUGUUUUCAUUAA